rnacentral:rRNA from 1 species
AACAAACGCUGGCGGCGUGCCUAAUACAUGCAAGUCGAACGGGUAGCAAUACCAGUGGCGCACGGGUGAGGAAUACAUAGAUAAUCUGCCUUCGAGUCGGGGAUAACCAGUCGAAAGAUUGGCUAAUACCGGAUAAGACCACAGGAGCUGAGGCUCUAGGGGUUAAAGGUUUUUCGCUUGAAGAUGAGUCUAUGCGAGAUUAGCUAGUUGGUGAGGUAAUGGCUCACCAAGGCGACGAUCUCUAACUGGUCUUAGAGGAUGAUCAGUCACACUGGAACUGAGACACGGUCCAGACUCCUACGGGAGGCAGCAGUAGGGAAUAUUGCGCAAUGGGGGAAACCCUGACGCAGCGACGCCGCGUGAGUGAUGAAGGCCUUCGGGUCGUAAAGCUCUGUCGUAUGGGAAUAACACAAUGAAUGUACCCUGUAAGAAAGGAUCGGCUAACUUCGUGCCAGCAGCCGCCGUAACAC